UGCAGAAUCCCGUGAACCAUCGAGUCUUUGAACGCAAGUUGCGCCCGAAGCCAUUAGGCGGAGGGCACGUCUGCCUGGGUGUCACACAUCGUUGCCCCAACUCCAACCGCUCCGCGCGGCUUGGUGUGCCGGGCGCACGCUGACAUCCCGUGAGGCCCGCCUCGCGGUUUGUUGAAAAUUGAGUCCGUGGCAGGGGUGCUUCCACGAUGGAUGGUGGCUGAGUGAAUUCUCGAAACCAUUCGUGGAAGGCUCUACCGCUGCCGGGCUCCAGCAUCCAAGAUGCGCCUAGCUGCGCUCACAAUGAGACCUCAGGUCAGGCGGGGCUACCCGCUGAGUUUAAGCAUAUCAAUAAGCGGAGGAAAAGAAACUAACAAGGAUUCCCUUAGUAACGGCGAGCGAACCGGGAAGAGCCCACCAUGAGAAUCGGUCGCCCUCGGCGUCUGA
rnacentral:rRNA from 1 species